rnacentral:rRNA from 1 species
CUCCUACGGGAGGCAGCAGUGGGGAAUAUUGCACAAUGGGCGCAAGCCUGAUGCAGCCAUGCCGCGUGUAUGAAGAAGGCCUUCGGGUUGUAAAGUACUUUCAGCAGUGAGGAAGGUGGAUAUGUUAAUAGCAUAUUCAUUUGACGUUAGCUGCAGAAGAAGCACCGGCUAACUCCGUGCCAGCAGCCGCGGUAAUACGGAGGGUGCGAGCGUUAAUCGGAAUUACUGGGCGUAAAGCGCAUGCAGGUGGUUUGUUAAGUCAGAUGUGAAAGCCCGGGGCUCAACCUCGGAAUUGCAUUUGAAACUGGCAAACUAGAGUACUGUAGAGGGGGUAGAAUUUCAGGUGUAGCGGUGAAAUGCGUAGAGAUCUGAAGGAAUACCGGUGGCGAAGGCGGCCCCCUGGACAGAUACUGACACUCAGAUGCGAAAGCGUGGGGAGCAAACAGGAUUAGAUACCCUGGUAG